UAACCAUGAGGGAAAUCGUGCACAUC
rnacentral:piRNA from 1 species